UACGUAGGGUGCGAGCGUUGUCCGGAAUUAUUGGGCGUAAAGAGCUCGUAGGCGGUGUGUCACGUCGGCCGUGAAAACCUGCAGCUUAACUGUGGGCGUGCGGUCGAUACGGGCGGACUAGAGUACUUCAGGGGAGACUGGAAUUCCUGGUGUAGCGGUGAAAUGCGCAGAUAUCAGGAGGAACACCGGUGGCGAAGGCGGGUCUCUGGGAAGUAACUGACGCUGAGAAGCGAAAGCAUGGGUAGCAAACAGG
rnacentral:rRNA from 1 species